rnacentral:rRNA from 1 species
ACUGCAAGUCGGUGACGGCAAGCAAAUCUCUUAAAGCCAGUCUCAGUUCGGAUUGUAGGCUGCAACUCGCCUACAUGAAGUCGGAAUCGCUAGUAAUCGCGGAUCAGCACGCCGCGGUGAAUACGUUCCCGGGCCUUGUACACACCGCCCGUCACACCACGAGAGUUUGUAACACCCGAAGUCGGUGAGGUAACCUAUUAGGAGCCAGCCGCCUAAGGUGGGAUAGAUGAUUGGGGUGAAGUCGUAACAAGGUAUC